rnacentral:rRNA from 1 species
AAUGAACGCUAGCGGUGUGCCUAAUACAUGCAAGUCGAGCGAACAGACGAGGAGCUUGCUCCGCAGACGUUAGCGGCGGACGGGUGAGUAACCCGUGGAUACCCUACCUAUAAGACUGGGAUAACUUCGGGAAACCGGCGCUAAUACCAGGUAAUAUAUUCUACCGAACGGUUCAAUCGUGAACGCCGGUUUUGCUGUAACUCACAGAUGGAUCCGCCCCGCAUUAGCUAGUUGGUAAGGUAACGGCUUACCAAGGCAACGAUGCGUGCCUGACCUGAGAUGGUGAUCGGCUACACUGGAACUGAGACACGGUCCAGACGGCUACGGGAGGCAGCAGUAGGGAAUCUUGCGGAAGGGGCGAAAGCUUGACGGAGAAGCGCGGCGGGAGGGGUGAAGGUUUUCGGGUCGGAAAACACGGUUAUUAGGGAAGAACAAAUGUGUAAGUAACGAGGCACGUCUUGACGGUACCUAAUCAGAAAGCCACGGCUAACUACGUG